rnacentral:lncRNA from 1 species
AUGAAAUACCCAAUUAUAAAAGAAACUUUACAUCGCUAAUAUCUUAUGCAGUAUAGCACAAAUGGUAUCGUACAAAGGGUAAAAGACAUCUGAUGCUCAAUGUUUAUAAAAACUAAAACCCAACAUUCAGUGUUUCGGACGUCCUAUACUGUUCCAGAAAGAUGGUAUGUAGGCCAUUUGACCUCAAUUUGCAACAUACCAUUUAUGUAAAUACAC